rnacentral:tRNA from 1 species
ACCUGGCUGGCUCAGUCAAUAGAGCGUAUGACUCUUGAUCUUGAGGGUCGUGAGUUCAAGCCCCACAUUGGGUG